AAUAGCACUUUGGCAUUUCUUAACAUACUUAUCGUGUCAAAUUGUAUAUUAUAGUUAUUCCUGUGUCUCUCUUCUCCAUGUAGGUUUUCUCUUCCUUCUCUCCAAAGCACAAGCACCCAUUCCAGUCCUUUAUCCCUAAGGAAGGAGCAGGGUCCAGCAUCUGGCAGAAAAGGCCCAGCCUAAGCAUUGGGUGGUCAUAUGAAGGAAUAGCUGGGCACUGAAAGUAUCAUUUCAGAAAGUGUGGUCCAGUGGGAAAAAAGAGAUAAGAAAACAAAAACAUGACAUUUGGGACUGGGAUUUGAAUCCAGAUGAGGAAACCAAGGCCCAAGGAUACAGAUGUGACCACACAGCUAACUUCUCCUCAAUCUCCUUGCUUUACGGAGGAGGGUCUAGGCUGGCUUAGAAUUUCAUUCCCAUUUGCAUGUAAAUGGUCACACAACUCAUCUAAUCAUGGAAAGGAAGAGAAAGAAGAAGAAAGGGAGAAGUGAAAAUAACUUACCUCUAUGGCUGGCCAGGAGUGACAAGCAAUCUCUGUGUAACUUCCAUGAAUCCAGCAGUGGCUAGGUGAGAGUAUUUUUCUAUACUACCCCAAGCCAAAUGUAAUGACAAGAGUUCAAGUGACCAGGAGUCAAGCCACCAAUGAUCUAGUCUUCACUCGACCAUUGACUUGCUCUGUGACCUUGAGC
rnacentral:lncRNA from 1 species